UGUGUAUAAUUAUCUUUUCACAUAAAUUUCAUUUUUUUUAUUAAUUUUUGGUGAACAUAAUCUAGAAUUAGAUGGUCUAGAUUUCACCAUUGUAAAUUUUGAUUUUUGACCAUAUAUAAUAAAACUAAAUUUUAAAAAUGAAUCAUCUUAUCUCCAACAAUUGCUUAUAUAGUAGCUACGUGAAUGCGUGAAAACACUCUAGAGAUAUUGAAUUCCUAUUCUUAAGAGGUCACGUGUGUCAUUAUUAAAUUCGUAUUUUAUUUGGUUUGUUAAAGAUCUCGUUUAAAACAUUUUUAAUAUAUUUUUCCCUUCUAAAUUUAAAAUAUUUGGUUUUUAUCGCCACCAAAUUUUAAAUUUUACUUAUAUUAUUUAGUAAAAUUUAACCUAGUUUUAUUUCAUAAACUCCAAACUCUUGUUCACUUAUCUAUUAACCCACUACUAAAGAUUAGAAGAAGAAAAAAAUUGUAAAUUUAAAUGUAUUUAUAUUAUUAGUAAGGAAAGAAACAUAAAAAUGAAACUAUAUAACAUGCGUUUUUGACAAACAUACGAUUUAAAUCAAAAUCACUAAACCUGUUAACCUCCUACUAUAUAUAAAGAGAAUAUAAAGAGAAUAUGUGAGUUUGAACCGACUUUUUUCUAACUUAUUUUACCCUUGAUUUAUUCUAUUUUAUUUACUACUUAUCCUUUAAUAAUAAUAUUUUAAGUUUUAAUGAAAAAAUUAAAUCCCAUCAAAAUAGGAAUAUCCCACCACAAUAGGAGCAAUAUUAUCAAAUGUUUCUUACUUAUUUUGCCCUUUGUACAAUUUGAAAAUCGCAAAUGUUUCUACUUAUAAUUUUAAACAAAAUUAAAAUUUCAGAUAAAAUACCGUUCAUUAUUUUUUAAAGUGUUUUUACAAUUUACUAAUGUGUACAAAAAAUGAAGGAAAAAAAAAAAAAAAAACAGCUG
rnacentral:lncRNA from 1 species